rnacentral:lncRNA from 1 species
GUGUAUUCAUUUGGGCCUAACUCAGGCGGGCAGCUGACAUAAAGUGCACAUGUGGCGGUGGGGCUCGGCGGCUUUUGGCAGAAAGAUUUAUCGUAACAAUGCUCUCUAGUGCUGAUAGUUGUAUGCACUUGUCUGUGAACUGCAGGAGCACCUGUGACCCCAGCCUCACCACACACAGGCAUGGAAACAAACCACCAUAGCAAAAGCAUCUGCUUUGGGAGCUAUCCCAAGUUCCCUAUUAGCCUUUUGGACAUGGUGCUCCACCUCUUGAAGCAAAGCACCCUAGAAUGCACAGAAGCAGAUCCCAGUCAGAAGGGCACUCUGGGCAGCUGCAGUCCAGUCAGCAGUUGGACUCACAUUCUGAGAUGCCCUGAGGCAGACGAAGCUGCUCUUUCAACUCAACACCCACUUGCUCUUGUAACAGAAGCAAAGGAAAAAAAGGAAGGAAUGCACAGGUAAAUAUCCAUGAAUGAAAUGAGGCGAACAAAGGCAGGUUUCCCCUCACAUCUAAUAUUUAUCUGAAUGACUAGUUCCACAUGUUUUGGUCACCACUCAGACCACUCAGUUAAGUGGAUAAUUGUUUGUGUUAUAAGAAAAAUGGCAUUAUUGAAUCUCAUUUUUUCUUUUACUUUGUAUUAUCUUUCUUUUCAGAUGUUUGGUGUCCUCUGUUACCAUAUCCAGUACUGACCUCACUACUUCUAUGAGUUUUCAAGCAAAUGUUUGUGUGGUGAUACAUUGCUUAUGUUCUAACAAAGCUUGCCUGGAGAUCAGAAUGCAAAGCUAGCCACAGCCAUAGAGGCCAGGCAGUGGUGGUGCACACCUUUAAUCCCAACAACCAUACUAGUUAGCCAUAAAAGCUGGGCAGUGGAGGUGCACAGAGAGGUACAUAAGACAGGAGCAGGGUCUCAGAGCAGGGAAUUAGUCUCCAGCUACGUCGAGGAUAGGACUGCCC